AAAAAGUCUUGAUUAAAUAACAA
rnacentral:snRNA from 1 species